GUAGGGCGCAAGCGUUGUCCGGAUUUAUUGGGCGUAAAGAGCUCGUAGGCGGCUUGUUACGUCGUCCGUGAAAACCUGGGGCUUAACUCUGGGCGUGCGGUCGAUACGGGCAGGCUAGAGGCAGGUAGGGGAGAUCGGAAUUCCUGGUGUAGCGGUGAAAUGCGCAGAUAUCAGGAGGAACACCGGUGGCGAAGGCGGAUCUCUGGGCCUGUUCUGACGCUGAGGAGCGAAAGCGUGGGGAGCGAACAGGAUUAGAUACCCUGGUAGUCCACGCUGUAAACGUUGGGCGCUAGGUGUGGGGGACUUCAUUGUUUUCCGUGCCGCAGCUAACGCAUUAAGCGCCCCGCCUGGGGAGUACGGCCGCAAGGCUAAA
rnacentral:rRNA from 1 species